rnacentral:lncRNA from 1 species
AACAUUCCCUGACUUGAUAUGUAGAGAGAAUUAUAAUUUGAUUAACGAUGACUCGAAAGAUUUGUUUUUAUUGUUAGAUGAUGCUUAUCCAUUUAAAAAUGAUGCAAAUACAAAUAAUCGUAUUAUUAUACUUAAUGAAAGUAAAUUGCUGCAUAAAAUUUUAUCGGACCCGCUAUUAAUCGAAUUUAAUAUAAUAAUUAUAACAAAUGUACAUAAAAGAUUUUUAAAAACGGAUUUACUUUUGGCACUAUUAAAAAGGAUGCUUAUAAAAAGAAGCGAUUUGUAUGUCUUUCUUUUUUUAGACUUUUUUAUUGAAAAUGUGCUUCAUUUUUUUGAUUCUUAUAAUAGCGCCUUUUUUAGCCAGUACAAUAGGGAAUUGCAUGGUGACAGGAAUAGCGAUCGACAUGGUAACCGACAUAGCGAAAGGAUAUCCGAUCAAGAAGAAACGUCACUAGUAGCAAUGCGAGAUCAGGACAACGUAAAACAGAGGAAAGAACGUUUUUUAACAAUUGAUACGGAAGAAACAAAACGGCGAGAGUCGGGUAUGACGGAAGAAAGUAACAAAAAAAUAAACACAAUUAAAACAGCAUUAGCUGAAUUUACAAAUGGUGAAAAAAAGAUACAAGGGUUAGAAAAGAGCGAAGAAGCAUCGGAUAAAAAAAAGGAAUCAGAUAAAAAAAAGGAAUCAGAUAAAAAAAAGGAAUCGGAUAAAAAAAAGGAAUCGGAUAAAAAAAAGGAAUCGGAUAAAGAGGAAGCAUCGGAUAAAGAGGAAGAAUCGGAUAAAGAGGAAGAAUCGGAUAAAGAGGAAGAAUCGGAUAAAGAGGAAGAUAUUCAAUUUGUACAUAAGUUGCACAGAAAACACAUUAGAUGUUUUGAUGAACUUGUUCAUAACAAAAAAAUAAUACCUGGGAAAUAUUUACAACAUAAAGAUUAUCAAUCUGUAAUAAAAAAAAAUAUAUUUAUAAAAAAUAAAAAGUUUAUAGAUUUAAUAAAUAAUCAAAACGAGUAUGUAACAAGUAGAAGUAAUAGUCUGUCAUCAAGUAAUAUGACCGAUUUUGAAGAAGAUUCUCGUUGUGUGAGCACGUACAAAACAUCUGAUUCAGCUACGCAUGAUAAUGAUGAAAAAAAUGAGAGCGAAAGAAGUGCAGAAAAAAAUACGGGGUUAUCUACUGCUAACAAUAAAAAAAAAUGUUUCUUCAUGAACUCCGAAACGCACUCGCUAAUAUAUAAUGAAAAUAAUAAUAUGAGUGGUACGCACACAGUUCCAGAUGCAAAUUCACAAAACAGUGAUGCAAAACAAAUAGAGGUAGGUGAUACACAUAUAAAAGAAUGGGAAUCGUUUGAAUUACAAUUAGAAAAAGUUAACAAUAUAAUAAAUAUAUUCAUUUUUCAUAUUACAAACAGCAGUAGACAUAAUGACAAUAAAGAAAGAAAUAAACAUAACAAUGGAGAUGGAUAUAAUAAUAAAG